rnacentral:rRNA from 1 species
UACGCAGGUGGCAAGCGUUGUUCGGAAUUAUUGGGCGUAAAGCGCACGUAGGCGGGCGCGUAAGUCGGUUGUGAAAGCCCUGGGCUCAACCCGGGAAUUGCAGUCGAUACUGCGUGUCUUGAGUGCUCGAGAGGAUGGCGGAAUUCCUGGUGUAGCGGUGAAAUGCGCAGAUAUCAGGAAGAACACCAAUGGCGAAAGCAGCUUUCUGGGACGGUACUGACGCUGAGACGCGAAAGCGUGGGGAGCGAACAGG